UUGUAUUUCAUGCAAAUCAAUAAUUCUCCACCUCUGCUUGAUCAUUUAUCGUUUGUUUCCCUUGUACAAAACAACAGUGAAGAAGAGGUUAACAUUUUGCAGCUACCAGUGGACAUACUGUAUGAAAUCCUUCUUCUUGUUGUGCUGGAGGAAGGAGACGCAGCAAUGGGAAAAUUAUCACUGACAUGCAAGCAGUUUCUGGACAUCAUUCUGCAACAAGGCACAUUUCCUGUUGUUGGACAGUGUCGUUGACUGGAAGAAAUUCUCUAAAGACUUUCAGGAAGCCGUACCUCAUAUCAAACUGCUGUGGAAGUUGUGGAAGCACAUUUAAAGAUUGUGGUGCAGGUUACUGGGGCAAUGGGAAAAGAGGACAGCUGAAAGGCUUUUAUUCUGAACCCAGUACUCCAGGGAACUGCAGCCACUUAUGCGCCAUGGAUGCAGGGUUAGUUUCCCAGAUUCCUCCUGUAAUUUCCUCCAUCACAUGAAGUAACACCCUAAUGAUACUAUGUUGUUGUGUGUUUUUAUUAAUUAAUAGAUGCUAUGUAGAGUUUUAAGAUGUCUUCAAAAGUUAAAU